UACGUAGGGGGCGAGCGUUGUCCGGAUUUAUUGGGCGUAAAACGCUUGUAGGCGGCCACAUAGCGUCGUGCGUGAAAUCUCCCGGCUCAACUGGAAGGGGUCGUGCGAUACGGAUGGGCUCGAGGCCGGUAGGGGGACGCGGAAUUCCCGGUGUAGUGGUGGAAUGCGUAGAUAUCGGGAGGAACACCAGUGGCGAAGGCGGCGUCCUGGACCGGCACUGACGCUGAGGAGCGAAAGCGUGGGGAGCGAUCCGG
rnacentral:rRNA from 1 species